AUUGAACGCUGGCGGCAGGCCUAACACAUGCAAGUCGAGCGAGCGGCGGACGGGUGAGUAAUGUAUGGGGAUCUGCCCGAUCGAGGGGGAUAACUAAUGGACACGGUGGCUAAUACCGCAUACUAUCGGAUGCACCCAUAUGGGAUUAGGUAGUAGGUGGGGUAACGGCUCACCUAGGCGACGAUCGCUAGCUGGUCGGAGAGGAUGAUCAGCAACACUGGGACUGAGACACGGCCCAUACUCCUACGGGAGGCAGCAGGUGGGAAUAUUGCACAAUGGGCGCAAGCCUGAUGCAGACAUGCCGCGUGUAUGAAGAAGGCCUUAGUGUUGUAAAGUACUUUCAGCGGGGAGGCGUUACCCGCAGAAGAAGCACCGGCUAACUCCGUGCCAGCAGCCGCGGUAAUAC
rnacentral:rRNA from 1 species